GAGCCAGCCGGGUCACGGCAGCUGGGUUUAACCGUAUUACAAUUAUAGAUGCCUCUACUGAUAUCCAAAUUCUGGCUUUAUGGCCAUUACAAAACAGAAAGUAAAAUGAAAGGUAAAAAGAGAGCAGGUGAAGUUGCUGGACGAUCAACAGCGACCCUUGACGCGACGGCUGCCAUCCGAUGGAAGAUCAACGUCUCUCAGCAGCUGCCUCUGGCGAGAAGCGGUAAGUGGAGGCCAGCGUCGUUGGAUGUGAAUCGGACGGUGGAGUUUGAAUCAACAGCUGAAGCGAUAACCUGCAGUUAACUGAAGAUGGGCUGUUGUCGGUCUUUGGAUAAGGGGCCUGACAGAUAACACGUGAUGUUUUCACUAGUGACGAGUCUGGGAUGUGUAUGCUUCAUGCAACCAGGCAGUACGAUGGAGAUAAAAUGAUGUGGUCAUUGACAAAAGGUUCAUAGUUUGUUUGACUUUCUUACUUCUUUCAUAAAUUUGUCGGAUGAGAAUUUUUGCAGGCAGAGCUUGCAUGCUGUUUUGGCUAUGAAAUCUGCAGAAAAACUUGGCCACUUGUCAGCAAACAACUGUUUUCGAGUGUGCAAAUUGUUCAUCACCUUGUGAGGGUUUGGAUGAGAGCGGCGAUUUGGCGGACGGGCGCGCGUGCUCACGCUAUGUGGCACGUAGGUACAGGUGGAGCAGUGCGGCGCAGGUCAGGGUUGUAUGCGGGAGCAAUGCCAGAAAUAAGUGCGGCCAGAUGUGAGAACGACGUCUCCGUGACCGUGAGUGUAACGGGGGCAAAGUGUACCAGAGGUACACGACGGGGCCUGCACGCCGUGCCACUACCGUCCCAGAAAAAG